GUGACCGCAUCAGCUCAUAGCGUAUAUUAAGUUGUUGCAGUUAAAAAGCUCGUAGUUGAAUUUCGGGAUCAGUACGCUGGUCGUGCCUUCGGUAUGUACUGGUGUUACUGAUUCCUCCCUCCUGACGAACCGUAAUGCCAUUAAUUUGGUGUGGCGGGAAAUCAGGACUGUUACUUUGAAAAAAUUAAAGUGUUUAAAGCAGG
rnacentral:rRNA from 1 species